rfam:Zea mays cultivar B73 chromosome 10, whole genome shotgun sequence.
GUGUCUUCAUGAGUUUCCUUCAAGCACUUCACAUGGAGCAUUCUGUCUUAGAGAAAGCUUAAUUUAUUGCAUUGUGAAGUGUUUGAGGAAACUCUUGAUGAUAA